ACAUGCUUACAACAUAGCAUUAAUGCACCAUAUCCCAUUAGAACUCCACAAUUAAGCGCACUCAGGCUAGAGUGGUACUGGGAUGGGUGACCGCUCAAGAAGUCCUAGUGUUUUACAUGCC
rnacentral:rRNA from 1 species